GCGACGAUAAUAGCACCUUCUUGGCGGCUGUAAUCAGUCGAAGUUGGUUGGCAGAAAAUGGUGAGUAUCGAAGCCCUCAUUGGGGUGAAGAAAACGAAUUUCUUUUCUUUUCACCUGUUUUCGAUGUUGUGAUGAAAAACUGCCAUCACAUAACCGGCAUUUUGCGAUCUCCAAACCUCCCAAGAGCCAGGGAAUGGAUCCAAGGCAUGUUCCCCUGGUAUAUAUUUCCUCGUUCAGCUCCUGAUUCUCCCGCAGACCCUUGGCUACUCAAAAUUUUCUCUGGUCCCUUCUUUCCUUGAUACAUCCAAUGAACACGCCGUGCUUUCUCCUAAUUUUCCAACAGCAAACAUGAAAUUUUUCGGCAGCCACGUAUUUUCUGGUCGUCGGAUUAACUUCCCAAAAUAAUACUGCUUGGGACUGAGAUCAGAGGGAAAUAAUUUUAGCAAAUGGUCUACGAAGAGAUAGCGGCUGAUUCCAUAUAUUUUUCAACAAGCGAAGAAACAGUGUCCCCACAGUCGGAGAUAAUGGGCAGUGAAUGUUGGUUCUGCUUUACCCUAUCGCUGAUCAAUGUGCAAUUACUGAGUAACGAAAUACCCCUCCUCCAUUUGUAAGUUAUCUCCAGAGGUCUGACGUUGGCAGGCACUCCUCCUUGAAAGCUAUGGAAGAGGGAAAAUUGGCGUAUUUAGCCACUUGAUCGUCCCUGUGCAAACCAAGGAUGAGAUGGACAGGUGCAUAUCCCUGAAUCCCAGUCAAGUGGCUAAAGGCAUGCUUGCUGUAUGGAAGCGUCUCGACCCCACCACCAAAGGUUUGCAGGUCAUGGAGAGAACAAACAUUUUGUGACGAGAUGGUUGAUUGAAAGGACGAGAGAAUGAAAUUGGAAGUUUAUUUAAAGCGAAUAAAUGUUUGAGGAAA
rnacentral:sRNA from 2 species